AUGUACCCCCCAACACUUCGGUUCCUCCGUGCCGUCCGCCCCCACCUGAAGACUGCUCGCUACGGUUUGUUAGCC
rnacentral:sRNA from 2 species